ACUCCUACGGGAGGCAGCAGUGGGGAAUAUUGCACAAUGGGGGAAACCCUGAUGCAGCCAUGCCGCGUGUGUGAAGAAGGCCUUCGGGUUGUAAAGCACUUUCAGCGAGGAGGAAAGGUUGAUGCCUAAUACGUAUCAGCUGUGACGUUACUCGCAGAAGAAGCACCGGCUAACUCCGUGCCAGCAGCCGCGGUAAUACGGAGGGUGCAAGCGU
rnacentral:rRNA from 1 species